UACGGAGGAUGCGAGCGUUAUCCGGAUUUAUCGGGUUUAAAGGGUGCGUGGGCGGGAUGCCAAGUCAGCGGUAAAAAUGCGGUGCUCAACGCCGUCGAGCCGUUGAAACUGGCGUUCUUGAGUGGGCGAGAAGUAUGCGGAAUGCGUGGUGUAGCGGUGAUAUGCAUAGAUAUCACGCAGAACUCCGAUUGCGAAGGCAGCAUACCGGCGCCCUACUGACGCUGAGGCACGAAAGCGUGGGUAUCGAACAGG
rnacentral:rRNA from 1 species